rnacentral:tRNA from 1 species
GGAGAAAUGACUGAGUUUGGUUUAAGGUGCUGGUUUGCUAAACCAGUGAAUGUUUUGAAUAUUCCUCGGGUUCAAAUCCCGAUUUCUCCG